UGCGCAGGCGGAUCAAUAAGUCGGGGGUUAAAUCCAUGUGCUUAACACAUGCACGGCUUCCGAUACUGUUGAUCUAGAGUCUCGAAGAGGAAGGUGGAAUUUCCGGUGUAACGGUGGAAUGUGUAGAUAUCGGAAAGAACACCAGUGGCGAAGGCAGCCUUCUGGUCGAGUACUGACGCUCAUGCACGAAAGCGUGGGGAGCAAACA
rnacentral:rRNA from 1 species